rnacentral:rRNA from 1 species
CCUACGGGUGGCAGCAGUGAGGAAUAUUGGUCAAUGGACGAGAGUCUGAACCAGCCAAGUAGCGUGAAGGAUGACUGCCCUAUGGGUUGUAAACUUCUUUUAUAAAGGAAUAAAACGCGGCACGUGUGCCUUUUUGCAUGUACUUUAUGAAUAAGGAUCGGCUAACUCCGUGCCAGCAGCCGCGGUAAUACGGAGGAUCCGAGCGUUAUCCGGAUUUAUUGGGUUUAAAGGGAGCGUAGAUGGGUUGUUAAGGCAGUCGUGAAAUGUUGCGGCUCAACCGUAAAAUUGCAAUUGAAACUGGCUGUCUUGAGUACAGUUGAGGUAGGCGGAAUUCGUGGUGUAGCGGUGAAAUGCUUAGAUAUCACGAAGAACCCCGAUUGCGAAGGCAGCUUACGAAACUGUGACUGACAUUGAUGCUCGAAAGUGUGGGUAUCAAACAGGAUUAGAUACCCUAGUAGUC